rnacentral:rRNA from 1 species
GAUGAACGCUGGCGGCGUGCCUAAUACAUGCCAGUCGAGCGAACGGACGAGAAGCUUGCUUCUCUGAUGUUAGCGGCGGACGGGUGAGUAACACGUGUAUAACCUACCUAUAAGACUGGGAUAACUUCGGGAAACCGGAGCUAAUACCGGAUAAUAUUUUGAACCGCAUGGUUCAAUAGUGAAAGACGGUCUUUCUGUCACUUAUAGAUGGAUCCGCGCUGCAUUAGCUAGUUGGUAAGGUAACGGCUUACCAAGGCAACGAUGCAUAGCCGACCUGAGAGGGUGAUCGGCAACAGUGGAACUGAGACACGGUCCAGAAUCCUAAGGGAGGCAGCAGAAGGGUAUCGUCCGCAGUAGGCGAAAGCCUGGCAGAGCAACGGCGCGUGAGUGAUGAAGGUCUUCGGAUCGGAAAACUCUGUUAUUAGGGAUGAACAUAUGUGUAAGUAACUGUGCACAUCUUGACGGUACCUAAUCAGAAAGCAACGGCUAACUACGUG